rnacentral:rRNA from 1 species
GACGUAGGGGCGAGCGUUGUCCGGAUUCAUUGGGCGUAAAGGCGCGUAGGCGGCCUGCUAAGUCGGACGUGAAAUCCCCGGCUCAACCGGGAACUGCGUCCGAUACUGGUGGCUCGAAUCCGGAGAGGAUGUGGAAUUUCCGGUGUAGCGGUGAAAUGCGUAGAUAUCGGAAGGAACAUCAGUGGCGAAGCGGCUUCCUGGACCAGUACCGACGUUCAGGCACGAAGCGUGGAGCAACAGG